rnacentral:lncRNA from 1 species
UCCUCAAAGCUUUCUUUGCUCUAUGGUCUGAUCUCCCAGAAUAGCAGAACCUUUAUCUAGAAGAUUGUGUAAUUCUGUAAGAGGCAGAUUACUUUACUACCAAUUCAGAAGUCUCAAAUUCAGUUUUUCCUCUGCCCCAUGGGUUUUUACAAAGUUUCUGGUGGUCAUUAAUGCCGCUCAUAGUAACGUCUUCAUUUAUUCCCUUUUCUUGGAUGACUAGCUGUUGAAGGCACUCUCAGACAUUUUUCUUCAAGAUGUCCAGUAAUCCUCUUCGUGUCUUUAAGCAUAGGGCUGGAUUCUCAAGCUAUGGAAGUUAGACAUUGUUCCCUCCAAGGAAAAAUUUGUUUCUGGGCUUUAUUAUAGAUUCUACACUCAUGAAGAUGUUUCUAUCUACAGAGAAGAUUAAAUUAAUAUUAGCCUUGUCUUCCCUUAAAGCAGUAUGUUCCAUAAGGGAGGCAAUGCUGCAUUGGGUCUUCUCACUGCAACCAUUCCAGCCAUCCACUGGGCAGGAGUAAGUAUAAGACCAUUACAGAAAAACAACCUUUUUAGAAUGGAACAGAGAUCAAUCCUCUGGGUCACCUUGUGAAAAUUUAGCCUUCAACAAUAAAGAGCUUCAGCUAGUGGAAAGGUUCAAAGUUAAUUUUGAAAGGCCUAUCCUUCUGAUUGAAAGAAUACUGUUUCAUCACAAGAGACGCCUCAGCUUUUAGUUUGGGAGAUUAGAUGGGAAACUCUUCUACAAAAGGACAAUAGACAAGUCAAGAUUCCAGAAGAACUUUAGAGCACUAUAGGCUGUUUGUAUGGUUCUCAUACAUUUUAGACAAGUUCUCUUUCAUUUCCUCAGAUAAUGCCACUACAGUGGCUUACAUCAACAGAUAAGAUAAUUGUUUGCAGUCAAUUUCAUAGGGAACGUCAACGUUCUAGCAGAUGCAUUAAGCUUAAAUCUUCUAAAACAGUGAGAUUGGUCCCUGAUCCAUUAAACAUUCCUUUUUUAUUUUUGCUUUUUUUGGAAGGUCAGAAAUACAUUAUUGCCUCGAUCGACACUUCAGACCAGCCAGACUACCUGAACACCCUAGCGAUUUAUUGGGAUUUCCCAAUAACAUACAUCCCCGCCCUCCAGUCCUGUUGAUUCUGAGAGACAUGCACAAGAUUAUCCAGUACAGAGCCACCAUCAUAGCUAUAAAUUAUUUCUCUUCUGGCUAAAGUUAGUUUCUUAUGCUUAUAAGCCUGUCCUAAGGAAACUACUUGACCUUCCUUUGUCUUUGAAAAUUCUGGAAUACUACCUAGUGGAUCAGCAGACCUUGAAAUCUUUCAAGCUCACAGUUUGAUUUCUGAAAGGCAAAUCCUGAGUUCAAAAGGUUUAAGCCCUGAAAUUAUAAAUAUUUUUGUGUUGGCCCUGAAAAAUUCCACCAGUGAAAUUAAUGCAAGAAUUUGGAAAAGGUUCUUUGUUUUGGUACAAAGGUUAAUCCCAUUGCAGCUCCUUGCCGCCUGUGUUUUCUGCAACUUGGCUUCUCUAUAGGUUUUACAUCCUGCUUCUCUUCGUGUUUAAGUCUCUCUGCAAUCAAUUUUACUCCCUCAGAGAUUUAACUUCUGAUCCCCUUGUGGUCAAAUUCUUCAGAGCAGUCUCUAACUUGCUUCCUACAAUUAGAGAAAUCACUCCACCUUGGGGUCUUUUGUUCUGUCAUCCCUCUGCGAAUCUCCAUUUAAGCCAUUACAGGGUUGUCUUUUGAGUUUUAUAACCUGGAAAACAGUGUUCCUGAUAGCAAUUACAUCAGAUAAUGUAUAUAACUUUAAGCACUUCCAGCAUAUCCUCCCUCUCUGACUUUUCAUUUGGAGAAGGUGGUUUUAAAGCUUCAUAUUCCAUUUCAUUGAUUAAAUGUUCUAACACUUUUCUGUUACUUAGACAAGACAAAUUCAGAUAAUCAGCACGCUUGGUUGUCCUUUACCAGGGCCAGAAGAAAGAUAAUAUAUGGCCUACAUUGGGAUCCUGGGCCAGCUGGAUCAAGGAAGCCAUUAAAUGGACCUAGUUCCUCAAAUCUGCCUCCUCUGCAUUUUAGGAAUUUCUAACUAUAGAUUAGAUAUACAGGCCUGGGAGGAUACUCUCUGGGUGCCAAUUGCUUCAAGUAGUAGUGAAGUGCAGUUAUUAUAUUAUUUAUAUAGUGCCAUCAGAUUCCGUAGCGCUGUACAAUGGGUUGGUAACUCUCUAUGGGAUUGCUUGUUUAUCCCUAAUGUUGCACUGCCUCUAAACUAGAGGGAAAGUUAUUAUUAUUUAUUUAUUUUACUUUGCACUUAUUUCCCUCCCUAUUUAAUUAUUUCAGCUUGUGUACUUUCUUGAGCAUUUUUGUCUUUGGGGAUUUUAUAGUUUAAAAAUGAGGGAGAGGAAGAGUGAGGGGCUUAACCUUUUAAAAGUGUCCUACCUGCCUUUUUCCUGAAGGAAAUGGGAGAUACCUAAUGUUGCACUGCCUCUAAUAUUCAGGAAAAAGACAUUGACAGUAGAAACACUUUUUUUUUUUUUUAUUGGUAGAGCACAACUUCUAAAAAAAAAAAAAAAAAGGUAAUUAUGAUUCCCAUAAUUUGGAGCAAUGUAUCACUAGUCUCCCAUUAUAAGGAUUUGAAUAAAUGCAUAUUUUCUGCUUACCAGCACUUUGACUUCACUUGUUAAAGGACCACUAUAGUGCCCUGAGUGUGCCCCCACCCUCAGGGUCCCCCCCGCCGGGCUCUAGGGUGAAGGGGUUAAACUUACCUCUUUCUCCAGGGCUGGGCGGGGAGCUGUCCUCCUCCUCGACUGAAUGCGCAUGCAUGGCAAGAGCUGCGCGUGCAUUCAGCCAGUCUCAUAGGAAAGCAUUAUUGAAUGCUUUCCUAUGGACGCUGGAGUCUUCUCACUGUGACUUUCACAGUGAGAAGCAUGCAAGCGCCUCUAGCGGCUGUCAAUGAGACAACCACUAAAGGCUGGAUUAACCCUAAUAUAAACAUAGCAGUUUCUAUGUUAACCCUAGGUUAACCCUAGCUGGACCUGGCACCCAGACCACUUCAUUAAGCUGAAGUGGUCUGGGUGCCUAUAGUGGUCCUUUAAGGCUAGUGGAGAGUGAUAACCAUGCUGUUUCCGAUGGACUUUAAAAAAAAAAAAAAAAAAUGUAAUCAUACAGAGACAAAAAAAAAAAUAUCCUUGUUGUGCUGCCAUAGUCUAGAACAGGGAUAGGCACCCUUCAUCACUCAAGAUGUUUUGGAUUACAUCUCCCAUAAUGCUCUUACACCCAUAAUGCUGGCAAAAAACCAUGGGGGGGGGGGUGUAGUCCAAAACAUCUGGAGUGUCGAAGGUUGCCUAUGCCUGGUCUAGAAGUUGAAAUGGCAUCGUGGGAAUCUACAGUGCGUAGAGGAAAAUGCAGAUUCCUCACAAGUAGUCAUUCAUAAAGUGGUAAAAUGUUAUAUUUUCAAACCCAUAGCAUGCCAUAAAAAUAGCCAUGAUACUGUACAAUGGCAAUAUUUUAUUUAUCCAAAGGGAUGUACAAAUGUGUUUUGUUUUUUUAACCAUUAUAACUUAAUCUAGGAUAGUUUUCUCAUGCAAUACACAUUCUAUUUUUCACAUCAAUUGCACACACAACCUUUCAUGAUACUCACAUGUUAGUGUGCUAAUUUUAGUAUUUCUUGUUAGUGAGUGAGUUCAUGUAAAAGAAAAAAUGAAAAUUAAGCCAGGAAAGCAUGAAUUCUGUUCACUUUCACAACAUCUCGUGAUCAGUACAUGCUUUGAAGAGAGUACAGUAUGCUUCCUGCUAUAUUUGAUGCUUCCAAAUGUACGUGAGCCACAAAAGAGUGAGGCAACACCAAAAAAAAAUUAUCGUGCAGAAAAAUUAAGCAGAAUGUAUGUAUGUAAAGCGUUCCUUCUGAAACUAGUAUUUAGCAGGACUUUUCUUUUUAACCUUCCUAGCUGUCACAGAAAAAUUAUAUGGUCGAUAUUGCACAUAGUCCACUCCCAGAAAUGCAAUGGAAUUUUUCACCAUUUAUAUAAUUUGAUAAUUAAGCUUCAGAAAUAAUAAUUUGCUGACUUAUUUCAUAUGUGUAAUACUUCUUUCAUACUGAUGAGGGAAAAGGAGUAUAGAGUUUUAUUAGGGCCUAUCCACAAAUUAAGGUCAACCUAAACCAUAUUUCAUAAUUUUCCCAAAUUGUUUAUUGCAUGUAGAUGACUUGAUGUCACUCUUCAGGCUCUUGACAAACUAGAAGUGCAGUUAUUUUAGCCAAUCAUAGAUUGAAGAGCUACUUACUAAGGAUACCGGGAAUGGGAAUGGGGUAUAUGUAGAAACAUGUCAUCUGCUCUUAGAAUAUCUACAACUAAAACAAUAAUGGGACCUAUAGAAACACCUAAAGCAGUGAGUUAGAAUUUUUAUUUUUUGGGGGACAGGGACCCAUAAUAUAUGUAUUUUGGCAACAGCAAAAAACAGCCCCCCCCUCACAUUGUUUAAAGAUUAUCCCCUGUACUAAUAAAUUAAGUUAAUUUAUUGUGGCUGUUGUCUGGAUCAUGAUGGGUGUGAUGCGACUGUUUUGACAACCAGGGACCCAAAUGUUCGUGCAAACCUGCUGUUAAGAAUCAUUGCCUAUCCCUGACCUAGAGCCUUCUUCCUUCUGGGUAUACCAUUACAAUUGUUACCAAUGUCUUCAUUGUCCCCCUAUUUAUUUUAUGACAAAUGAAACUUGUAUUGUAGACAUCAAUCCUAUUUAUAUAAACUUUUUUAUUUUUUAUAUAAGACAAAAUAUGCAUAGAUGUAGGGCUGUUGAUGCAUAAUGUAAAAUUGUGUUUGAGUCUACACGCUCUCUUAACAAUUACAGUUAAUGAAGUCAUUGUUAAUUUAAUUUUGAACAAUGAUGUGGUUUAUUGUAUAUCGAUUUAGGGAUUACCCAAAAUCUUUUGCAACUGGUUGAUGAAAACUGGUUUGAGAACCAAUAAAGUAUAGAGUUUUUUGUUUUUCCUAUAAAUUUAUAGGAUAUGUUAUGUAUAUUAUUGUGCUUUGAGUACUGAUUCAUUAACAUCUUUCUGAGACUUGAAAUGUGCAUGCUUUUGCCCUAAUACAUAAUCUAGCAUCCCAUAGUGAAUAAGUAAGGAGAUUAUAGAAAUUGGCCAGGAAUUAUAUGUUAAAGGAAGAGAAAUGAAGGAAAACACAAACUCAAAGGUUCAAUUCUACUGAAUCGUAUAUUACUUCACUGAACACUUUUAAAUUGAAAAUGUAAACUUCUUAAAAUAUGUGGAAUACCUCAUUUAUUUCAAAUUUGAUGAAAAAUAUUUUUUUGGGGGGGAAAACAAUCAUGUUUCACGAUUCAAUAGAAAUAAUUUGAUAAACUUGAUUUUCUAAAUAAACAAAGUUCAUCUUGGUUUUUAAAGGUGUAGAUUUGCUUAUUGAAUAUAAAUUACAUUUGCUUGAUUAUUUAUUAUUUUAUGGAUUAUGCUCUGAAUAUAGGUGAUUAGGGCAGAGUUCCAAUUUUUUGUUGAAAGGAGUUAUGGGGCGAGAAUUUUCAUGUAGCGCAAUGGAGAGUUUUUCCCACUCUACGUUUCUGGCCUGAAUGUUGCUAAGUAUUUAAAGUUAAGGUGGC